GGGGUCUUAAUUUAAGUAAUAAAAUAUAUGAUUUGCAUUCAUAAAAUUUUGACUCUAU
rnacentral:tRNA from 1 species